rnacentral:tRNA from 1 species
CAAGAUGUAGCUUAAUAAGCAAUUCGCUUACACCGAAUAGAUGCCCGCUAAAACCGGACCAUUUUGU